rnacentral:piRNA from 1 species
UCUGACAAGUAUUUUCGGCUGCGUUCGGGC